rnacentral:rRNA from 1 species
GAUGAACGCUGGCGGCGUGCCUAAUACAUGCAAGUCGUGCGGAAAGGCCACUUCGGUGGUACUCGAGCGGCGGAUGGCAGAGUAACGCGUAGGAACAUACCCCAAACUGAGGCAUAACUGCUCGAAAGAGCAGCUAAUACCGCAUGUGAUCUUCGGAUUAAAGCUUCGGCGGUUUGGGAAUGGCCUGCGUCCGAUUAGCUAGUUGGUGAGGUAAAUGCUCACCAAGGCUUCGAUCGGUAGCUGGUCUGAGAGGAUGAUCAGCCUGACUGGAACUGAGAACGGUCCAGACUCCUACGGGAGGCAGCAGUAGGGAAUUUUCCACAAUGGGCGAAAGCCUGAUGGAGCAACGCCGCGUGCAGGAUGAAUGCCUUCGGGUUGUAAACUGCUUUUAUAGUUGAAGAAUAUGACGGUAACUAAUGAAUAAGGGUCGGCUAACUACGUGCCAGCAGCCGCGGUAAU